ACACACACACACAAGUUCACCUGCAAUGCUUAUCAAAUCAAAUCUUAUUUGCACCAAAUACAAUGAUGAAUACAACAGGUGUCGUAGACCUCGCAGUAAAAUGCUGAAUACAACAGGUGUCGUAGACCUCACAGUGAAAUGCUGAAUACAGCAGGUGUAGUAGACCUCACAGUGAAAUGCUGAAUACAGCAGGUGUAGUAGACCUCACAGUGAAAUGCUGAAUACAACAGGUGUAGUAGACCUUGCAGUGAAAUGCUGAAUACAGCAGGUGUAGUAGACCUUGCAGUGAAAUGCUGAAUACAACAGGUGUAGUAGACCUUGCAGUGAAAUGCUGAAUACAACAGGUGUAGUAGACCUCACAGUGAAAUGCUGAAUACAACAGGUGUAGUAGACCUUGCAGUGAAAUGCUGAAUACAACAGGUGUAGUAGACCUCACAGUGAAAUGCUGAAUACAACAGGUGUAGUAGACCUUGCAGUGAAAUGCUGAAUACAACAGGUGUAGUAGACCUUGCAGUGAAAUGCUG